GAACAGGUGAACCUAAGAAACCAACAAAGCAGAAGGAAGAACAAAGCAUUAAACUAGUAAAACAACACACCCUCCAUCAAAAUCAGAAAAUGCUCCACACCUAUAGCACCAAU
rnacentral:lncRNA from 1 species